AAUGAACGCUGGCGGCAUGCCUAACACAUGCAAGUCGAACGAAAACACGAGGUCCUUUGUCCCCUGACGUCGUAGGGGGACGGAAGAGUCACACGUGGUCAAGAUACCUAUCCGACAGGGAUACUAACGCGAAAUAGGAUCUAAUACCGGAUAAUUUAUUGACCUGCGUUGUUCAAUAGUUAAAGACGGUUUUGCUGUCACUAAUAGCUGGCUACGCGCCGCAUUAGUUAGUUGGUAAGGUAACGGCUUACCAAGGCUACGAUGCGUAGCCGACCUGAGCGGGUGAUCGGCCACACUGGAACUGAGACACGGUCCAGACUCCUACGGGAGGCAGCAGUAGGGAAUCUUCCGCAAAGGGCGAAAGCCUGACGGAGCAACGCCGCGUGAGUGAUGAAGGUCUUCGGAUCGUAAAACUCUGUUAUUAGGGAAGAACAAAUGUGUAAGUAACUAUGCACGUCUUGACGGUACCUAAUCAGAAAGCCACGGCUAACUACGUG
rnacentral:rRNA from 1 species